GACAUUGAUGCACUGUGUAAUCAGCCUUCAGUGUGUUUGCAUUUAAUGUAAUGCAUAAGAGUUCUGAUGGUAUGUCCAGUCUUGCAUAUUUUGCCUACACAUGGCUUUAAGAAAUAACAUGUGUUGGCUUAAAUCUGAGGAGGAAGACCAUGAGAAGAUCCAGGCCAGCUGAUGUUGGAGUAUUAGGGAGAGCAUAGUGGGAAAUCCAAAAUGGCGCAAGAACGAGUGUGUCAUUUUCAAACUGCCUGCUCUGAACAUCUGGUCCUAGAGGGAGGAGGGUGACCCUGUCAAUGGGAGCCCUCGUCUCCCCUGUCAACAGCAUGAGAACAGCCCACCACAAGCCUUAGUCCGCCACUGCAAGACACACAAUACCAGAAUGAUGGAACCUUUCCCCAGCACUGACACAGCACUACAACAAAGAUCAUUGCCUGAACUCCUGUCAUCCUGCCUGCACCUCGUGCUCUUGCCUUGCCUGCCUACUACUCACCCCACACUCGUCGCUCAACUCAGCACAGCCACCUUCGUUCACCCCUUACCCUCCACCAUCGCCAGCUGGAAUCAUCAUUUUAUCAUCCUAUGUUAUAUAAUACUGUUUCUUCAGUGAGCAGGAACCUCUGGGUCUGAAAAGUGAAGCCAAUGAAGAAGUGCCCAGCACUCUUUCUAAUGGCAGGAAGGGGGUUACACCACGGGUGGAGAAAAGAUGUGUUGGAUGCAUUCGACUUCAUGCAGUGAUUCACAGAGCUGUGAGAUGCAUGCUGGACUUAACAUUAGGCAGGCUGGUUGGAAAUUAUUUCCAACUUCCACCGGUGCUGUGAAACGUCACCAUGUCACUUGACAUUAGGGAGCAGGGCAGGUUAAUGAAUCUAGCGACCGCAGUUGCUUUGUGUGUGUAAGUGGGAACCAUGUUUUGCUUGAUCUUACAGGAUUUGCCCAGUGUUCUAAUGUCACACACUCUACGGGAAGUUGAAUGUGUUUUUUUGUUUGGUUUUUUUUUUUUUAUUCCCCACAUGCACAGUGCCGGCGGCUCACGUUUGACUGUCACGUCAGCCACAGUCAAAUGUACCUCAUACAGAAGCAUAUGAGAAAAUAACCCUACUCCUAACUUGAUUUAUUACCUCAGUAAAUACUUUCCUAAUGAGUUUAAAGUCUUAGGUCUCUCUUCUUCAUACAAUAGCACAGAUAUUAAUUUUGUAAAUCAUGGUCCCUUUUAGAGGAAAAUAAACGAUAACGCAGGGUA